ensembl:scaRNA
GUCUCCUCCCAUGGUAGUGGUGCAGGGAAGCGCUCCCCUUGCAGCCAGUGGGAGAGACAGAACAAAAGCUAGAGGAAAGUCGUCGUGGCUGCCAGGAGUUGGUGGCUGCCAUGUUUUCCUGCCUCUUACACUG